rnacentral:rRNA from 1 species
UACGGAGGAUCCAAGCGUUAUCCGGAUUUAUUGGGUUUAAAGGGUGCGUAGGCGGCCUAUUAAGUCAGGGGUGAAAGACGGUAGCUUAACUCUCGCAGUGCCCUUGAUACUGAUGGGCUUGAAUGUACUUGAGGUAGGCGGAAUGUGACAAGUAGCGGUGAAAUGCAUAGAUAUGUCACAGAACACCAAUUGCGAAGGCAGCUUACUAAAGUAUGAUUGACGCUGAGGCACGAAAGCGUGGGGAUCAAACAGG